GAGGGUUCUUUGUUUUUUAGCAGUUAUGUUUCCAUAGAAGUGACUGUGGUCAUUUGACAAAAAUAGUGCAUGCUGUAAUUGUGAUAGUUAUUUUACCAUGAAAAGAUAUAAAGUGUGGGACAAAUGCAUGAAGUGGAAUUACAAGCACAAUAGCACAAAGCAGAGUGGUGAACUCAAUUUCAAUUAUUAUCUGCAUUGUUAAACGGAUUUAUUUUUAGUUUUACAUUAAAUAUUUUGUUUUUCUCCCAUGAAAUUAUUUCUCAUAACAUGUAGAAGUUUCAUUUAAUUCAGAAAUUAGACUAUAGUCAUUAAACAUUUUUCUGUAGAUCUGAAAAGCUGUUGAAAAAGAGUUACUUUUUUCAGAAGAAAAUUUCUUAAAGAUAACAAAGAUAACAAAAUUCAAGAUGUGGAAGAUAAAUUUAAAAGUUUUAGCAAUGACAGCUCCGAUGAUGAUAGUUUCAUUGAUGUUAAGUACACCAAGGAUUUUUUAAAUGACCUCAUAAAUAGACAUUUUGUCUUGGUUCUCACCAUGAUUCUGUAUUUGACAAGAUGUUUCAUGAUGGCUAAUAUGAGCUUCAAGACAAUGUGCGUACAAAAUAUAUUGAUACCUGGGGACUACAUGGAACUACAGUUGUGUGUUAGGAUAAAUCAAAUGAUAUCCUUAAUCAAAAUUCAAAACCAGAUCUUGUGUGGCAACAAUUUCAACCUGCAGCACCUUCAAAUUAAAAAUACAUUGAGCAAAUGCAUCUAUUCCACCUAAAAACUGCUGAAGAAAAAGUGAGAUUGAGUAAAUUUAGACUGACAAAGUCACUUAACAGGUCUGUUUAUCAUACAAAUCUCGAUGUAUAUUAUUAAGUACUAGUCUAUCUAGCUUGAAAACAAUUAUUCAUAUUCAUGAGAAAAAUAUAUAUCUACACAUAUUUAGAAAUUUUUAUUUGCGAUUAUAAAAUAAGGACCCUCUUUUGAUGGUAGCCUUAUAAAAUAUGUGUUUAGAUUGAA